CGGUGAAGCCCAGCUUGCUGGGUGGAUCAGUGGCGAACGGGUGAGUAACACGUGAGUAACCUGCCCCUGACUCUGGGAUAAGCCUUGGAAACGAGGUCUAAUACCGGAUAUGUGACGUUCAGGCAUCUGAUGCGUCUGGAAAGAUUUAUCGGUCAGGGAUGGACUCGCGGCCUAUCAGCUUGUUGGUGGGGUAACGGCCUACCAAGGCGACGACGGGUAGCCGGCCUGAGAGGGCGACCGGCCACACUGGGACUGAGACACGGCCCAGACUCCUACGGGAGGCAGCAGUGGGGAAUAUUGCACAAUGGGCGCAAGCCUGAUGCAGCGACGCCGCGUGAGGGAUGAAGGCCUUCGGGUUGUAAACCUCUUUCAGCAGGGAAGAAGCGCAAGUGACGGUACCUGCAGAAGAAGCGCCGGCUAACUACGUGCCAGCAGCCGCGGUAAUACGUAGGGCGCAAGCGUUGUCCGGAAUUAUUGGGCGUAAAGAGCUCGUAGGCGGUUUGUCGCGUCUGCUGUGAAAACUCGAGGCUCAACCUCGGGCUUGCAGUGGGUACGGGCAGACUAGAGUGCGGUAGGGGAGACUGGAAUUCCUGGUGUAGCGGUGGAAUGCGCAGAUAUCAGGAGGAACACCGAUGGCGAAGGCAGGUCUCUGGGCCGCAACUGACGCUGAGGAGCGAAAGCAUGGGGAGCGAACAGGAUUAGAUACCCUGGUAGUCCAUGCCGUAAACGUUGGGCACUAGGUGUGGGGCUCAUUCCACGAGUUCCGUGCCGCAGCAAACGCAUUAAGUGCCCCGCCUGGGGAGUACGGCCGCAAGGCUAAAACUCAAAGAAAUUGACGGGGGCCCGCACAAGCGGCGGA
rnacentral:rRNA from 1 species